rnacentral:rRNA from 1 species
GAUGAACGCUGGCGGCGUGCCUAAUACAUGCAAGUCGAACGCACAGCGAAAGGUGCUUGCACCUUUUAAGUGAGUGACGAACGGGUGAGUAACACGUGGACAACCUGCCUCAAGGCUGGGGAUAACAUUUGGAAACAGAUGCUAAUACCGAAUAAAACUCAGUGUCGCAUGACACAAAGUUAAAAGGCGCUUUGGCGUCACCUAGAGAUGGAUCCGCGGUG